AUAACGUUCGGAAACGGACGCUAAUACCGCAUACGGUCCUACGGGNGAAAANCGGGGGGGAUCUUCGGACCUCGCGCCAUUAGAUGAGCCUAGGUCGGAUUAGCUAGUUGGUGAGGUAAUGGCUCACCAAGGCGACGAUCCGUAACUGGGUCUGAGAGGAUGAUCAGGUCACACUGGAACUGAGACACGGGUCCAGACUCCUACGGGAGGCAGCAGUGGGGAAUAUUGGGACAAUGGGCGAAAGCCUGAUCCAGCCAUGCCGCGUGUGUGAAGAAGGUCUUCGGAUUGUAAAGCACUUUAAGUUGGGAGGAAGGGUAGUAACCUAAUACGUUGCUACUUUGACGUUACCGACAGAAUAAGCACCGGCUAACUUCGUG
rnacentral:rRNA from 1 species